rnacentral:rRNA from 1 species
UACGUAGAAGACUAGUGUUAUUCAUCUUUAAUAGGUUUAAAGGGUACCUAGACGGUAUAAUUAGUCUUAAACAGGAUACGAUUAUACUAGAGUUAUAUAUGAGGAGGUGAGUAUUUAUGCAGUAGAGUUGAAAUUUCGUUGAUAGCAUAACGACUGGUAACGGCGAAAGCAACCUUUUAUCUAAUAACUGACGUUGAGGGACGAAGGCUCGGGUAACGAACAGG